GAAUCCCGUCUUUGACACGGACUACCAGUGCUUUGUGAUACGCUCUCAAAGAGUCGAGUUGUUUGGGAAUGCAGCUCAAAAUGGGUGGUAAAUUCCAUCUAAAGCUAAAUAUUGGCGAGAGACCGAUAGCGAACAAGUACCGUGAGGGAAAGAUGAAAAGCACUUUGGAAAGAGAGUUAAACAGUACGUGAAAUUGCUGAAAGGGAGGCGCUUGAAGUCAGUCGCGUUGUUCAGAACUCAACCUGGUUUUACUUGGUGCACUUUCUGAAUGACGGGCCAACAUCAGUUUUGACUGUCGGAUAAAAGCCUUUGGAAUGUGGCACCUCCGGGUGUGUUAUAGCCUUUGGUUGUAUACGAUGGUUGGGAUUGAGGAUCGCAGCACGCCUUUUGGCCGGGGUUCACCCACGUACGUGCUUAGGAUGUUGGCGUAAUGGCUUUAAACGACCCGUCUUGAAACACGGACCAAGGAGUCUAACAUGCCUGCGAGUGUUUGGGUGGAAAACCCGAGCGCGCAAUGAAAGUGAAAGUUGGGAUCCCUGUCGUGGGGAGCACCGACGCCCAUACCAGACCUUCUGUGACGGAUAUGCGGUUGAGCAUGUAUGUUGGGACCCGAAAGAUGGUGAACUAUGCCUGAAUAGGGUGAAGCCAGAGGAAACUCUGGUGGAAGCUCGUAGCGAUUCUGACGUGCAAAUCGAUCGUCAAAUUUGGGUAUAGGGGCGAAAGACUAAUCGAACCAUCUAGUAGCUGGUUCCUGCC
rnacentral:rRNA from 1 species